rnacentral:sRNA from 1 species
UUAAGUCUACAUGUUCCUGGUCCACCAGGC